ACCUGGCUGGUUCAGUCGGUAGAGCAAGUGACUCUUGAUCUCAGGGUUGUGAGUUCCAGCCCCAUGCUGGGUG
rnacentral:tRNA from 1 species